CGUCAAAUCAUCAUGCCCUUUAUGUCCUGGGGCUACACACGUACUACAAUGGCCGUAACAGAGGGAAGCGAAAUAGUGAUAUUAAGUAAAACCCAAAAAGCGGUCUCAGUUCGGAUUGAAGGCUGAAAUUCGCCUUCAUGAAGCCGGAAUUGCUAGUAAUGGCAGGUCAGCAUACUGCCGUGAAUACGUUCCCGGGCCUU
rnacentral:rRNA from 1 species